AUGUUAAAGAAUGGCAUGCUGUUGCUUCGUGGACUUGGGAUGCACAGGAUGAAACAUGUGGGAUUUGUAGGAUGGCCUUUGAUGGAUGUUGUCCUGAUUGUAAACUUCCUGGAGAUGACUGUCCACUUACGAUAUGUUGUUAUUGGCAUACAAGGUGACUAUUUAUUAAGCUUUAAGCUCAAGGAUCUGGAAGCAAUUCCUGCAUAG